rnacentral:rRNA from 1 species
UGGGGAAUUUUGGACAAUGGGCGAAAGCCUGAUCCAGCAAUGCCGCGUGUGUGAAGAAGGCCUUCGGGUUGUAAAGCACUUUUGUCCGGAAAGAAAUCCUUGGCUCUAAUACAGUCGGGGGAUGACGGUACCGGAAGAAUAAGCACCGGCUAACUACGUGCCAGCAGCCGCGGUAAUACGUAGGGUGCAAGCGUUAAUCGGAAUUACUGGGCGUAAAGCGUGCGCAGGCGGUUUGCUAAGACCGAUGUGAAAUCCCCGGGCUCAACCUGGGAACUGCAUUGGUGACUGGCAGGCUAGAGUAUGGCAGAGGGGGGUAGAAUUCCACGUGUAGCAGUNGAAAUGCGUAGAGAUGUGGAGGAAUACCGAUGGCGAAGGCAGCCCCCUGGGCCAAUACUGACGCUCAUGCACGAAAAGCGUGGGGGAGCAAACAGGAUUCAGAUACCCUGGUAGUCCACGCCCUAAACGAUGUCAACUAGUUGUUGGGGAUUCAUUUCCUUAGUAACGUAGCUAACGCGUGAAGUUGACCGCCUGGGGAGUACGGUCGCAAGAUU